rnacentral:rRNA from 1 species
GAUGAACGCUGGCGGCGUGCCUAAUACAUGCAAGUCGAGCGAACGGACGAGAAGCUUGCUUCUCUGAUGUUAGCGGCGGACGGGUGAGUAACACGUGGAUAACCUACCUAUAAGACUGGGAUAACUUCGGGAAACCGGAGCUAAUACCGGAUAAUAUUUUGAACCGCAUGGUUCAAAAGUGAAAGACGGUCUUGCUGUCACUUAUAGAUGGAUCCGCGCUGCAUUAGCUAGUUGGUAAGGUAACGGCUUACCAAGGCAACGAUGCAUAGCCGACCUGAGAGGGUGAGCGGCCACACUGGAAGUGAGACACGGUCCAGACUCCUACGGGAGGCAGCAGUAGGGAAUCGUGCGCAAUGGGCGAAAGCCUGACGGAGCAACGCCGCGUGAGUGAUGAAGGUCUUCGGAUCGUAAAACUCUGUUAUUAGGGAAGAACAUAUGUGUAAGUAACUGUGCACAUCUUGACGGUACCUAAUCAGAAAGCCACGGCUAACUACGUG